rnacentral:rRNA from 1 species
UACAUUAGAUACCCCUGUAGUCCCAGCCGUAAACUAUGCUCGCUAGGUGUCAGGCAUGGCGCGACCGUGUCUGGUGCCGCAGGGAAGCCGUGAAGCGAGCCACCUGGGAAGUACGGCCGCAAGGCUGAACUUAAAGGAAUUGGCGGGGGAGCACCACAACGGGUGGAGCCUGCGGUUUAAUUGGACUCAACGCCGGGAAGCUCACCGGAUAAGACAGCGGAAUGAUUGCCGGGCUGAAGACUCUGCAUGACUAGCUG